AUGUCCCAGUACCACUGGAAAUUCUCCUGUCCCGGUUACCCCAGGAGAUUCUCCUGUCCCGGUUCCUCCUGUCCCGGUUCCCCCUAUCCCGGUCCCACCAGGAGAUUCUCCUGUCCCGGUACCAUCGGGAGUCAUUCCAGCCCCGUUUUUCCCGGAGGAUGCUCCACGCCCGGUUCUCUCCUGUCCCGGUUCCCGCUGUCCCGGCACUCCCGGGAGAUUCUCCUGUCCCGCUUCCCCCUAUCCCGGUCCCACCAGGAGAUUCUCCUGUCCCGGUGCCCCCAUCCCGGUCCCACCGGGAGUCGUUCCAGCCCCGUUUUUCCCGGAGGACGCUCAACGCCCGGUUCCCUCCUCCCCUGUCCCGGUGCCCCCAGGAGAUUCUCCUGUCCCGGUUCGUCCUGUCUCGGUAGUCCCGGGAAAUUCUCCUUUCCUCGUUCCUCCUAUCCUGGUCCCCCUGGUACCGGUCCCACCCGGAGUUUCUCCUGUCACGGUCCCUCUGUCCCGGUUUCCCCUGUCCCGGUUCGCCUGUCCCGGUACCCUCGGGGGAUUCUCCUGUCCCGCUCCCACCGGGCUAAUCUCCUGUCCCGGUUCGUCCUGUCCCGGUUCCACCAGGAGAUUCUCCUGCCCCGGUGCCCCGUGUUCCGGCGUCCCCAGGAGAUUUUCCUGUCCCGGUCCCCCUGUCCCGGUUCCCCCUGUUCGAGGAUUUCCGGGAGAUUCUCCUGUCCCGGUUCCCCUUGUCCCCGUUGCCCCUGUCCCUGUUGCCCCAGGAGUUUUCCAGCCCCGUUUUUCCCGGAGGACGCUCCGUUCCCGGUUCCCCCCUCCCCUGCCCUGCCCCUCUCGCGGCCCGGGGCGGGCUCGGGGCGGCGGGGGCGGCCCCGGUGGGCGGGCGGGGGCGCGGGGAGCCCGGCCCCGCUCCGGUUCCGCCUACAAAGGGCUCGGGCCGGGCGGGCCCCGCUCACAGCGCCGGGACCCCGCACCCAUGGGCGGCUGCCGGGCCCCGCCGCCGCCCGGGGCGGCUCCUCGCCCUCCUCGGCCCCCGGUACCGGCCAGCGCCGGCGGGACACAGCCCGGGGACUGAGGGAAAUCCCGGGAAGAGGCCGCGGGAAGCUCGGGAAAUCCCGAAGGGUGAGCGGGGACGGGGCGGGGGGACACGGAGCGCCGGGAGGGGAGCGGGGUGGGCGGAGAGGGAGGUGCUCCGGUUCUCCCGGGGGUGCUCCAGUCCCGAAUCCCUCUGUCCCGGUUCUCCCGGGAUGCUCCAGUCCCGAAUUCCUGUGUCCCGGUUGUCCCGGGGGAUGCUCCAGUCCCGAAUUCCUCUGUCCCGGUUCUCCCUGUCCCCGUGGCCCCGGUUCCUGUCCCUGUUCCUAUCCCGGUUCUCCCUGUCCCCGUUUCCCCGGGGGAAGUUCCUGCCCCGAAUCCUUGUAG
rnacentral:lncRNA from 1 species